rnacentral:misc_RNA from 1 species
GAUGAAGAACGCAGCGAAAUGCGAUAAGUAAUGUGAAUUGCAGAAUUCAGUGAAUCAUCGAAUCUUUGAACGCACAUUGCGCCCGCCAGUAUUCUGGCGGGCAUGCCUGUUCGAGCGUCAUUACAACCCUCAGGCCCCCGGGCCUGGCGUUGGGGAUCGGCGGAGCCCCCCGUGGGCACACGCCGUCCCCCAAAUGCAGUGGCGGUCUCGCUGCAGCCUCCAUUGCGUAGUAGCUAACACCUCGCAACUGGAACGCGGCGCGGCCAUGCCGUAAAACCCCAACUUCUGAAUGUUGACCUCGGAUCAGGUAGGAAUACCCGCUGAACUUAAGCAUAUCAAUAAGCGGAGGA